CCUUUGAGGCGAUCGUUACCCGCAAUCGAAAUGAGAGCCAUAUUCAAUUCGCGUCUUUUACAAUUUACCAUCGGUCUGAUGGGGGUCAUUGUGUCCUCGGCGACAAUGGCAAUUCCCUAUUUACUUCAGACCAAAUUACUCGGCAUUGUGCGAGCACUGGAGCUGACGGCCUCGGCCUUGCUCAUCUUUGGACUAGUGAAAAAGCGGGAUCUGAACAAGUCAAAGAUCAUGGUGGUCUGGCUGAUCUGUUCGCUGAUGUUUGUCACCGGCAUUCUCUACAACAUGUUUGAGGGUUUCUGGAUGUUCCACAGAAUCGAUGUGCUGACAUCGAUCAUAGUUACCGCCUCUUCAUUGGCUGCCGUAGCUUUGAUGUCUGGCAUGAUGUGCGUGGUGUACAAUGGCUAUGAGCGACUGGUGGAUGGCAAUGACGAGCAGAUACUUACAGCCUAAGUGGAAAAGUUUCUGGUUCCACUGCUCGAAGAGGAAGUUUCCCUGUGAUGGAGUAGGAUCCUCGUUUGCUGAAUAGAAGCUCCACUAAUUACACCGCCCCAGCCGGUGUGCCCCAGUCCGUUCGUUGCCACUUGUAAAGUUUCUGGAAAAGUUUGUCAAUUUGCAUUCGGCUUCUCUCGGGGAAGUCCAAUGUUACCACUGUUUUCUGCUGCAUUUAAUUAGGUUUACCACCAACGGGCACAAAAAGGGACGCAUGGCUCCUUGCUGCUUAACGGGCAUUUCUGAAUUAA